rnacentral:tRNA from 1 species
GAUAGGAUAAGCUAAUUUAAGCUGUUGGGUUCAUACCCCGAAUAUGACACUAUUGUAUCUCCUAUUA